UCUGUAAUUCUGCCUCAAAGCCAGCAUUGCAGGAAUGCACAACAUGUUGCAGAAGACUCUCUUUCACUACCCUCUUUCAGCCCUGCUGUCGGGGAAAAGACGGAGGAACAUAUAAAUGGACACAUUAAAAAUGCUUUCCCUUUCCAAGACAAAAUUAUAUGCCAGUGCAGGCUGCCAUGUAGGACUACAGGACACGUUCACUUCCCUGUCUGUAACAUGACAAUCAUACGGCGUGGGGAUAUGGCAAGGCAUUUAUUGUCAUGUCAGCAUUCUUCAAUGCCAAGUCAGCCACCAGUAUCAGGACUGCUCCCCACUGCACUCUCCGAGGAACCCGGCCUCCCUCCUGAUGUCCUAUAUCCAGUGUCUAAACAGUCUUCUGAAUCUUUGGUAGAACAUUCAUGUGCUCUACCCUCUGUGCUGAAGGAAACUGUGGCUUAUGGGAAGUCAAUGAAAAUGAAAUGCCCUCAUUGUGGUCUUAGUCUUCUAAAAAAAACUUCAAAGCUCAUUCAAACAAAUCAUUAGAUGUUUACCUGGCCAGUGUGUUUGUGUAGUUGAGACUAUUGCAUUGCUAAAUGGCAUCUCUUUCAGACUCAGAGAGACCUCUUCCAGUCAAAUGUGGCACUAUCAUCAGGCCCUCCAUCACUGAUGACUCAGGAGGCUUCUUCCUGUGAGGACAAUGGUGCUAUGGGAAGGAGUAUCUGUUAUAUAUUUAAAGAGAAAAAAAUUUCUCAAUGUCUUCCAGAAGAUGUCAUGUCACAGAAAAUGGAACAUCAGAAACGGUUCAUUCCUUGUGAAACUUUGUGCCAGAGCACCCUAAACUUGACAAGGCUGUUCUAAUUACUAAUAAAGCAAGGAUUGUCAGCACGAUAGGAGUGAUUGAGAAUGUUUCAAUGUACCAUAGAUUGUGUCCUCAGUGCCACAUGGUGUACAGAUACCAGGACUGGACGAACGGGCUUCAUAACAUAACUGUCUCCUGAACUCUGCCUUUUUCCGAGAGAGAAUUUGCAGGUUGACUGGCUGAGCCCACUGAGGAAAAUGUCAAGGCUGCACGGGAUGGAAGAUUACGAGGGAAUCUUCCAUGGCUACAUGAAAGGAUGGACAGUGUAACUGAAUAUCCUCAUCCUGUCAGUGGAUCAUCCGACCAUUAUGUCCUGUAUGGCAGAUUUCAUGAGGGAAAUACAAAAGAUUCCAAGGACAUAUUAUGUAGAAUUCAACUUGUCCCAGAGCUGAGAGGCUGGCUGAAUAGUCAAGUUGUUGAACAGCUCUUUGCAUGCCUGAUGAAAAAUAAUUACUUUUUAAGUAAUAUAAGUCCAUCCACACAUGUGUUUUUGAUGAGAAAUAUAAUUCAUCAUUACUACACUGUUACCAACAAGAAACUUCUGGAGAGGCCGUUAAGACAUGGUUGACUUGGACAGAUCAGUAUCUCAUUGCGUGCACUUGGUCAAGCUGUCAUAGGUAAAUGACACAUGGACUUUCACACGACCAGAAAGCUGUCAUUGUUCACAGAUUACAUUUGUUCCUGAUUGUGUGUGUUUAUUGCUGUUUUCUUUGUGUCCCUAGGGUUAGGGUUAGGACUCUGCAAAAGUGUGUGUGUGUUACCGCCAACAGUCAUAGUUGGUCUCUCUUCUGCACAGAACACUAAAUGGCUAAGGUACUACUGAAGUUUCUUUCUGUUCCUCCUGGAGGCUAAUAAGGAAACCUGGUUCUGGCCUGGAGGUAAUGAGUGUACAGGCAGAUUUCUUUUCUGAUGUAUUAAUCACAUAUUUUUAUCAUAUCACUUUUGUAAUAGUAGUAUCACUUUGUCACUUGAGUUAGCUUCACAAAUUUGUCUUAUGCUCUAUCACACACAGUGGGGCCAUUGUAAGUUCAUGGAAGACGUUAAACAGAUAGUGAGACUCCUGCUUAUCAAUGAUGUAAAUCUGUAGGUGACGCUAAGCAGAAAACAAGGUCAUAAUUCUCUCUGUGAGGGGGAAGGUUUUAAGGAUGGGGCUGAAGGUGUAGCCCCCACCCCGUGACAUGGGCCAACAUGUAAGAGUUGUGGAAUGUCUUAGUCUGUGUGUGUAUAUAAGAUGUGAACUUCCAUAGCAUAAGGAAGCCUGGUUCUGGUGGCUCAUGUUGGGGCCUGGCUGUGGCUCAGGUGGUAGAGCAGGUGGUAGAGCAGAUCAGCUACUGAUCGGAAGGUUGGUGGUUCGAUCCUAGGCUUCCCCAGUCUGUAUGUCAAGUGUCCUUGGGCAAGAUACUAACCCCAAAUUGCCCUCCGAUGCAUUCAUCGGAGUGUGAAUGUGUGUGAAUGUAGUUAUAGUUUGCACUUGCGUUUAGAAGUGCUUGCAUGAGUGGGUGUGAAUGGGUGAAUGAGGCAUGUUGUAUGCAGCGCUUUGAGUACUCCGGGAGAGUAGAAAAGCGCUAUAUAAGAAUCAGUCCAUUUACCAUUUACCAUUUACCAUUUCAGCUGACUAAAGGCUUCUGUUUAAUAUGUGA